AGAAGUGUUUUCCGCGUCGGACUGCAUACAAGUCUAUUGGAAUAUAGCGUCAUAGUGGUGAGAGCCCCGUAACUGAUGCAGAUGCCCGAUGCUUUGUGAUACACUUUCGAAGAGUCGAGUUGUUUGGGAAUGCAGCUCAAAUUGGGUGGUAAAUUCCAUCUAAAGCUAAAUAUUGGCGAGAGACCGAUAGCGAACAAGUACCGUGAGGGAAAGAUGAAAAGCACUUUGGAAAGAGAGUUAACAGUACGUGAAAUUGUUGGAAGGGAAACGCUUGAAGUCAGACUUGCUAUUUGGAAUUCAGCCGCAAGGUGUACUUUUCAAUUUGCAGGCCAGCAUCAGUUUUUGGGGGUGGAAAAGGGUUGAGAAAAGGUAGCAGUUUCGGCUGUGUUAUAGUUCUUGGCUGGAUUCAUCUUUGGGGACUGAGGAACGCAGGUGCCGCAAGGCAAUUCUUUCGAG
rnacentral:rRNA from 1 species